GAAAAAAGAUAGGCAAAGGUUUAAGAUAAAGGAAGUUGAGGGAGGAAGACAGGCUUCAUGGCUUCCGCAGUAUUCAGCUUAAGCAGCUCGAGCUCUUGCCUGAGAUUCCACAGUAAACGUGGAGUCUUUUUGUCAAACCCUUCCAGUAAUCCCCAUUUCUCCAGAAUUUUGUCAGCCAAAAAUACCCAAUUCCGGAAUCUCAAGAAAAACAACUCUAUACGAGCAACCAGCUCUGAGGAAGGCCUUCCCACCGAGUUGAUUGAAGAUUCCAAGUUUGUUCCUUUAAAUGCUGAAGAUCCAAGAUAUGGCCCACCGGCUUUGUUGCUGCUGGGCUUUGAAUUGGAGGAUGCUGUAAAGAUAAAACAAUUUCUGAAGGAAAUGGAUGGUGAAUUCCUAGAGAUCAUAUUCUGCACUGAAGACAUGAUAUCUCGCUCGAUUUGGGAAGCAGUGAAUACAAAACAACGAGAUUUGAAAGCUCUGAAGAUUGCGAAACCACUUCCAAGGAUUUGCUUCCUGUCUGGUCUAACCGGAGAGGAGAUGAUGAUGUUCAUAGAUGCCUUUCCAGAAAGCGGACUAGAACAACCCGUCUUUGCAGCUCUCGUUCCUAAUGCAGCCGAUAAGCCACUUGAAGAGCUAAUCGAGGAGAUCAUGGGGGACCAUGAAACGCUGUCUGGAACACGACAAAGCUAGGCCAGUAGUUGUCGCAUAUCGCGCUGGAUAGAGACUAGCGAAUGGACGGUGGGAUUUAAAAGGCAAAAUCAUUAGCCUCCUCGAGAGUCGAGAAGCUCAAGCCUGAAGCCACAAAGUGAAGAAGGAUUGAAGGAAGACUAUCGUUGUCAGUGUCUGUCGUUAGUUGACUAACCCGAUCUUGAUAAUGUGCUCUACCCAACACAACUAAAAUAAUCACCGCGUGAAACAGACAAAAAGAUAGCCUAUAGGCUAUACAUAUAUAUACAUUUUAUUUUAUGUACGGCUGUAUAUAUCUGCAAGUAUACAGUGGGGAAAGAUCAGGUAACUCCAUAUCACCUCGCCAUUCGAAAAGGGUUUUACUUUGAUCUGUAAGUCGAUUUCUCCUUUCAUCCGUCUCAUCUUUAUACUAAUGCCCAAGCACACAAAGCUAGAGAGGGAAAGAUAGCAGCUUUUAGUGAUUAUCUUGCUUGCUGGCAUAAUUGUUUGUGAAAUUGAGGUUGGACAUUUUACAUUUUCUAUCAACUACACAAAUAAGCUUCUCAUUGUGCAUAUGAUCUAUGUUCAAUGAUGAUGAGCCGUUGUCCUUCAAAAAGAUGCAUGAAUUUUCGACAACAGAUGGUUUCGUGGAGAUAGCUGAUAACUUGGCAGACAUGGUCAAAUUUGUGGCAAACGAACCGUCUGUGGGGCUUUUCUACGUCCAACAGCAUGUCCGUAACGCAGUGCCCAACCUCGUCAAUCUCAAGAGUAAGGUUGUGGAGAAAUCUCACGAGACAACUUUACACGCGGAAGAUUUGGAGGAUUCGAUUGCCAUGGCUAGAUCGAUGAAGGACUGUGGCUUUCCGAUUGCUGAAGGGAUGAUUAAGGACAUCAGACAUUCCCUCACCGUCCUGUCAGCAAGAGACGGGAAGAAAGGGCUGAUAAAUAUGCGAAGUUCAAGUUUUCAGCUCGGGAGAGGUACUUCUUGGGGCCGUAGUUCAUCUCCCAAACCGGAUGUUGAGAGAGGCGGGUACCUGUCAAAACUGUUCGGAUCAGUUAGAGAAAAACCGAGCAGCAUCAAGUGGCCUCAGCUCGAACCCCGGGAACUCAAACCCGCAAAGGCGGGCGAGCCUUCUUUUUCCUUCCGGCCCCAGACACCAUUAGACGCGAGCUCCUCGUCAACCGUUGCAGAUGCAGACAGCGAUGACCUGCCCGUGUCGAGUGUGAUAGUCGACGAUGGACAUGAGGUGCAGGUGGAUAGAAGCCUGUCCCGAGAUCACCGGAUUCUUUCGUCCUCGAAGAGCUAUGAGGAGUUGAGUUCAGAAGCAAGAUUGGAACAUUGGUUGGAAGGGACAUCUAAUCCCAAUGCUGAUUAAUUGCUUGCAAUUUGCUGAUGCAGAUGUGUUAUACAGAUGUACUUUCUUGUGAAGAGUCUCUCUUGUACUGGAAUAAAUGUCGGAGAAAGAAAGAUGGGAAUCAAUAAUGCUUAAAUUUAGAGUGACUGUAAAUUUCGAAUAAUCAAUUUCCCAGAUUUUGUUAUUAUUGUUUUUCAAUUCUGUGCUAACAAAUUGUGUAUCAUUUUGGUUCAAAUUAUGGAAUUAAUCUGUGUAAUAUCAAUUAGCAUUUGUAUUGUCUAUAAUAUUAACUCAAAAGGUAGUUCAAGUGA